AGCGAACGCUGGCGGCAGGCCUAACACAUGCAAGUCGAACGAACCCUUCGGGGUUAGUGGCGGACGGGUGAGUAACACGUGGGAACGUGCCCUUAGGUUCGGAAUAACUCAGGGAAACUUGUGCUAAUACCGAAUGUGCCCUUCGGGGGAAAGAUUUAUCGCCUUUAGAGCGGCCCGCGUCUGAUUAGCUAGUUGGUGAGGUAAUGGCUCACCAAGGCUACGAUCAGUAGCUGGUCUGAGAGGAUGACCAGCCACAUUGGGACUGAGACACGGCCCAAACUCCUACGGGAGGCAGCAGUGGGGAAUCUUGCGCAAUGGGCGAAAGCCUGACGCAGCCAUGCCGCGUGGAUGAUGAAGGUCUUAGGAUUGUAAAAUCCUUUCACCGGUGAAGAUAAUGACUGUAGCCGGAGAAGAAGCCCCGGCUAACUUCGUGCCAGCCGCCGCGGUAAGAC
rnacentral:rRNA from 1 species